rnacentral:sRNA from 1 species
UACCAGCAGGCCCCUCUAAUUGAACCCUUGUCUAUUGCGUACCUAUUUUUCCUCGGUGGGCUUGCCCGCCGAAUGGACAAACCUACAACCUUUUUAAUUGUUAAAUCAGCGUCUGAAACAAACUUAAUAAUUACAACUUUCAACAACGGAUCUCUUGGUUCUGGCAUCGAUGAAGAACGCAGCGAAAUGCGAUAAGUAGUGUGAAUUGCAGAAUUCAGUGAAUCAUCGAAUCUUUGAACGCACAUUGCGCCCCUUGGUAUUCCAUGGGGCAUGCCUGUUCGAGCGUCAUUUGUACCCUCAAGCUACCCAUUUAUUGUCAGAGGUUAAAAUCCUUGGAUUUAUUUUAUUGAACAGCUUGGUGUUGGGUGUUUGUCCACUCCCGCGUGUUUGGACUCGCCUUAAAACAAUUGGCAGCCAGUGUUUUGGUAUGGAAGCGCAGCACAAUUUGCGAAUCUAGCCCCUGAAUACUAGCAACCAUCAAGCCCAUUUUUAACGCCGGCGAGUGAAGCGGCAACAGCUCAAAUUUGAAAUCUGGCUCUUUUAGGGUCCGAGUUGUAAUUUGCAGAGGGCGCUUUGGCGUUGGCAGCGGUCCAAGUUCUUUGGAACAGGACGUCACAGAGGGUGAGAAUCCCGUACGUGGUCGCUAGCCCUCGCCGUGUAAAGCCCCUUCGACGAGUCGAGUUGUUUGGGAAUGCAGCUCUAAAUGGGAGGUAAAUUUCUUCUAAAGCUAAAUACCGGCCAGAGACCGAUAGCGCACAAGUAGAGUGAUCGAAAGAUGAAAAGCACUUUGGAAAGAGAGUCAAAUAGCACGUGAAAUUGUUGAAAGGGAAGCGCUUGCAGCCAGACUUGCCUGUAGUUGCUUAUCCGGACUCUUGUCCGGUGCACUCUUCUGCAGGCAGGCCAGCAUCAGUUUGGGCGGUUGGAUAAAGGUCUCUGUCACGUACCUCCCUUCGGGGUAGGCCUUAUAGGGGAGACGUCAUGCAACCAGCCUGGACUGAGGUCCGCGCAUCUGCUAGGAUGCUGGCGUAAUGGCUGUAAGCGGCCCGUCUUGAAACACGGACCAAGGAGUCUAACAUCUAUGCGAGUGUUUGGGUGUCAAGCCCAGACGCGUAAUGAAAGUGAACGGAGGUGGGAACCUUUUAGGUGCACCAUCGACCGAUCCUGAUGUCUUCGGAUGGAUUUGAGUAAGAGCAUG